AUUGAACGCUGGCGGCAGGCCUAACACAUGCAAGUCGAGCGGAUGAGGAAAGCUUGCUUUUCGAUUCAGCGGCGGACGGGUGAGUAAUGCCUAGGAAUCUGCCUGUUAGUGGGGGAUAACUCGGGGAAACUCGGGCUAAUACCGCAUACGUCCUACGGGAGAAAGUGGGGGAUCUUCGGACCUCACGCUAACAGAUGAGCCUAGGUCGGAUUAGCUAGUAGGUGAGGUAAUGGCUCACCUAGGCGACGAUCCGUAACUGGUCUGAGAGGAUGAUCAGUCACACUGGAACUGAGACACGGUCCAGACUCCUACGGGGGGCAGCAGUGGGGAAUAUUGGACAAUGGGCGAAAGCCUGAUCCAGCCAUGCCGCGUGUGUGAAGAAGGUCUUCGGAUUGUAAAGCGCUUUAAGUUGGGAGGAAGGGUAUUCACCUAAUACGUGGGUACUUUGACGUUACCAACAGAAUAAGCACCGGCUAACUCUGUGCCAGCCGCCGCGGUAAUAC
rnacentral:rRNA from 1 species